UACGUAGGUGGCAAGCGUUGUCCGGAUUUACUGGGCGUAAAGGAUGUGUAGGCGGAUUUUUAAGUGAGAUGUGAAAUACCCGAGCUCAACUUGGGUGCUGCAUUUCAAACUGGAAGUCUAGAGUGCAGGAGAGGAAAGUGGAAUUCCUAGUGUAGCGGUGAAAUGCGUAGAUAUUAGGAAGAACAUCAGUGGCGAAGGCGACUUUCUGGACUGUAACUGACGCUGAGGCAUGAAAGCGUGGGGAGCAAACAGG
rnacentral:rRNA from 1 species